rnacentral:lncRNA from 1 species
CUCCCUGCCGGCCGCGCCCGGGGCCGCCCCCGCCCCUGGCACCGCCGCGCGCCCCCCCGCGCCCCCGCCGCGCCCCCGCCGCGCCCCCGCCCGCCCCGACCGCCGCCUCCGCGAGCUGUCAACAAAGGACAACCGGGUUUGGCACCCGGAGGCCGCCGGGCUGCACGCCCUGCGCCCUGCGCAGCCCGGACCCGCCGGCCACCUUAAGUGGCCAAGGGGGCAACGAAAUCCUGCAAGGGGCGGGGGCGCUGGGGACUGGGGGGAGGCCUUGAGACCGCAGCCCGCCAGCACCCCCCAUCGACUCCGCACCCCCGCACCCCCCAGUGCGCGGAGCCCAGCACGCCCGCCCGCCCGCCCGCCCGCCCGCCCGCAGAGUAGGUGAGGGCAGUGGGGAGGUGCCCCCCCACCUCCCCUUAGCACCACCUGUCACCGCGUCCAUCCCGCACACGUCCCUCUUCAUCUUUAAUGCGAGUGACGGGGUGAGUGGGGAGGAGCGGGUGCGGCCCGUGGGGUUGAGAACAGAGGGCCUCGGAAUUGGAAUUGGUGGCAGCAAAUGCCCCCCCCCCCGCCCCCCGCCCGGCCUCGCUCGUGGAUUUCUAAAAGCCAACACGCUGUCAGGUUGGGAGGCACUGGAGCACUCCAAGAGGGACGGGGUGAAAAAGCGUGAGCACCAGAGGAAAGAACUGGCAACCAGCCUCUGGCAGUCCCAGGAGCCUAGCAGAUCUCAGUGGGACCCCUCUCAGCAUCUGGCUUAUGUUAUCUGUAAGUGUGACAGAUUUCGCCAAGAAGAAAUUCCUGUCUGCUCUCCUGGCACAGAAAGGUGUCUUGGAUGA